UACGAAGGGGGCUAGCGUUGCUCGGAUUUACUGGGCGUAAAGCGCACGUAGGCGGAUUGUUAAGUCGGGGGUGAAAUCCUGGAGCUCAACUCCAGAACUGCCUUCGAUACUGGCGAUCUCGAGUUCGGGAGAGGUGAGUGGAACUGCGAGUGUAGAGGUGAAAUUCGUAGAUAUUCGCAAGAACACCAGUGGCGAAGGCGGCUCACUGGCCCGAUACUGACGCUGAGGUGCGAAAGCGUGGGGAGCAAACAGG
rnacentral:rRNA from 1 species